AUGUCCUGGAGUCAUUUUCUAAAAGACGACAGGAAGCAGUGCAUGGAGGCAGAUUUGUUCCUGCCUGCCAGGGCCAUCUCGUUAAUAACGGACUGUGUUUUGGACCAGACAGGCAUAACCCCGCUUGACCAGAACUGUUCAACUCACAGAAACAUACUAAGGCAUAUUGACACCGGACCGCCUCCCUCGCACGCGGCUUUGCACAAGGUGCGGGAACUGGAUGGUGAGCAUGAUCAGGUCACUCAACAGAGAGAGGCUUUUGGUAUCAGGAAUUCUGGCAAAUGA
rnacentral:lncRNA from 1 species